UCUCCCUGAGACUUUAAGUCUCCUGAAGGAACGUUAAAGACGAUGACGUUGAUAGGCCGGGUGUGUAAGCGCAGCGAUGCGUUGAGCUAACCGGUACUAAUGAACCGUGAGGCUUAACCUU
rnacentral:rRNA from 1 species